rnacentral:rRNA from 1 species
GCAAGUCGAGCGAAUCUGAGGGAGCUUGCUCCCAAGAUUAGCGGCGGACGGGUGAGUAACACGUGGGUAACCUGCCUGUAAGAUUGGGAUAACUCCGGGAAACCGGAGCUAAUACCGGAUAACAUUUCGAACCGCAUGGUUCGAAAUUGAAAGACGGCUUUUGCUGUCACUUACAGAUGGACCCGCGGCGCAUUAGCUAGUUGGUGAGGUAACGGCUCACCAAGGCAACGAUGCGUAGCCGACCUGAGAGGGUGAUCGGCCACACUGGGACUGAGACACGGCCCAGACUCCUACGGGAGGCAGCAGUAGGGAAUCUUCCGCAAUGGACGAAAGUCUGACGGAGCAACGCCGCGUGAACGAUGAAGGCCUUCGGGUCGUAAAGUUCUGUUGUUAGGGAAGAACAAGUGCUAGAGUAACUGCUAGCACCUUGACGGUACCUAACCAGAAAGCCACGGCUAACUACGUGCCAGCAGCCGCGGUAAUACGUAGGUGGCAAGCGUUGUCCGGAAUUAUUGGGCGUAAAGCGCGCGCAGGCGGUUUCUUAAGUCUGAUGUGAAAGCCCACGGCUCAACCGUGGAGGGUCAUUGGAAACUGGGAAACUUGAGUGCAGAAGAGGAGAGUGGAAUUCCACGUGUAGCGGUGAAAUGCGUAGAGAUGUGGAGGAACACCAGUGGCGAAGGCGACUCUCUGGUCUGUAACUGACGCUGAGGCGCGAAAGCGUGGGGAGCGAACAGGAUUAGAUACCCUGGUAGUCCACGCCGUAAACGAUGAGUGCUAAGUGUUAGAGGGUUUCCG